rnacentral:rRNA from 1 species
UCGAGGAUCUUCGUCAAUGGGCGAAAGCCUGAACGAGCGACGCCGCGUGUGCGAUGAAGGCCUUCGGGUUGUAAAGCACAAAAGUGGGGAUAAAAGCCGAAAGGUUUGAUUGAUCCACAGUAAGCUCGGGCUAAGUUCGUGCCAGCAGCCGCGGUAAGACGAACCGAGCGAACGUUGUUCGGAAUCACUGGGCUUAAAGGGCGCGUAGGCGGGCGAUCAAGUCGGGGGUGAAAUCCUACAGCUCAACUGUAGAACUGCCUUCGAUACUGAUUGUCUCGAGCAAGGUAGGGGCGUACGGAACUGUUGGUGGAGCGGUGAAAUGCGUUGAUAUCAACAGGAACUCCGGUGGCGAAAGCGGUACGCUGGACCUUUUCUGACGCUGAGGCGCGAAAGCUAGGGG